UACGUAGGGGGCAAGCGUUGUCCGGAAUCAUUGGGCGUAAAGAGCGUGUAGGCGGUUCGGUAAGUCGGCUGUGAAAGUCCAAGGCUCAACCUUGGGAUGCCGGUCGAUACUGCCGGACUAGAGUUCGGAAGAGGCGAGUGGAAUUCCCGGUGUAGCGGUGAAAUGCGCAGAUAUCGGGAGGAACACCUAUGGCGAAGGCAGCUCGCUGGGACGUUACUGACGCUGAGACGCGAAAGCGUGGGGAGCAAACAGG
rnacentral:rRNA from 1 species